rnacentral:rRNA from 1 species
UGGGGAAUAUUGCACAAUGGGCGAAAGCCUGAUGCAGCAACGCCGCGUGAGUGAUGAAGGCCCUCGGGUUGUAAAGCUCUGUCUUUUGGGACGAUAAUGACGGUACCAAAGGAGGAAGCCACGGCUAACUACGUGCCAGCAGCCGCGGUAAUACGUAGGUGGCAAGCGUUGUCCGGAUUUACUGGGCGUAAAGGAUGCGUAGGCGGAUUUUUAAGUGAGAUGUGAAAUACCCGGGCUUAACUUGGGUGCUGCAUUUCAAACUGGGAAUCUAGAGUGCGGGAGAGGAGAAUGGAAUUCCUAGUGUAGCGGUGAAAUGCGUAGAGAUUAGGAAGAACACCAGUGGCGAAGGCGAUUCUCUGGACCGUAACUGACGCUGAGGCAUGAAAGCGUGGGUAGCAAACAGGAUUAGAUACCCUGGUAGUCCACGCCGUAAACGAUGAGUACUAGGUGUAGGAGGUAUCGACCCCUUCUGUGCCGCAGUUAACACAAUAAGUACUCCGCCUGGGAAGUACGAUCGCAAGAUUAAAACUCAAA